UCGAACGCUCACCUUCGGGUGGGAGUGGCAGACGGGUGAGUAACACGUGGGAACGUACCCUUUGGUUCGGGACAACUCUGGGAAACUGGAGCUAAUACCGGAUACGCCCUUUUGGGGAAAGGUUUACUGCCGAAGGAUCGGCCCACGUCUGAUUAGCUAGUUGGUGGGUAACGGCCUACCAAGGCGACGAUCAGUAGCUGGUCUGAGAGGAUGAUCAGCCACACUGGGACUGAGACACGGCCCAGACUCCUACGGGAGGCAGCAGUGGGGAAUAUUGGACAAUGGGCGCAAGCCUGAUCCAGCCAUGCCGCGUGAGUGAUGAAGGCCUUAGGGUUGUAAAGCUCUUUUAUCCGGGACGAUAAUGACGGUACCGGAGGAAUAAGCCCCGGCUAACUUCGUGCCAGCAGCCGCGGUAAUACGAAGGGGGCUAGCGUUGCUCGGAAUCACUGGGCGUAAAGGGCGUGUAGGCGGCGUUUUAAGUCGGGGGUGAAAGCCUGUGGCUCAACCACAGAAUGGCCUUCGAUACUGGGACGCUUGAGUCUGGUAGAGGUUGGUGGAACUGCGAGUGUAGAGGUGAAAUUCGUAGAUAUUCGCAAGAACACCGGUGGCGAAGGCGGCCAACUGGACCGGCACUGACGCUGAGGCGCGAAAGCGUGGGGAGCAAACAGGAUUAGAUACCCCGGUAGUCCACGCUGUAAACGAUGAAUGCUAGCUGUUGGGAUGCAUGCAUCUCAGUAGCGCAGCUAACGCAUUAAGCAUUCCGCCUGGGGAGUACGUCGCAAGAUUAAAACUCAAAGGAAUUGACGGGGGCC
rnacentral:rRNA from 1 species